CGUAUGUAUGUAUCACACAAGCGUGUGUAUUUAUCACACAAGCCGUGUGUAUACUGCACUUGCUCACAUGCAGCAGGCCAGACGCUCCACCUCCUUUGGGACCAAAACGCACGAAAGCACACAGAAACAGGAACGCACAAACGCACAGUUUGGAGUUAGCAGUGUGAGGCCUGAGGUCUGACCCACAGGACCGCAGCUCAGCUGGAACGGCCCUUCCUCGUCUGUGUGACGGGUCGGUGGAUCCAGUUCGAAUGCAGCUCUGUGCUCCAGCGGUUCCCGCCUGUGGUCUUCCCCCCACGUUCCACGCGUAUCACACUUACCCAGCUUUACCACAGGAGGGCUGUGUCUGUCUCUCCGCUGUGGUAUUGACGCCUCCUUCUAAACGAUUGCUAAAUUGUAGGACUGGUACUACCUCGCAGGAUAUUGCACAAAGCUUCACAAAACAGAAGUUCAGCACAGUUUUCAAGUGCGUUUGGCCUCUUUAUGCCUAAAUGAUUCAAAUAAAUCAUCUGCCCUGGAUUAGACAGGUCUGGCUGAGCUACCCUGGAUUUUGAUAAAAUAAAUCCCCUGGGCUUGAUUAGUCAGGUCUGGCUGAGUUACCCUAGGUUUUGAUAAAUCAUCUGGGCUGGAUUAGUCAGGUCUGGCUGAGUUACCCUCGGUUUAGUCCUUUCAUAGAUAAGGGCGUUGGAAGAGAAUUUGUACUAAAGAAAUGAAAGUGAAAGUAGAAUUAAUUUCAGCUCAUUUACUGACAUAUUCGUAUUUCUGUUCACGCACAUUUGUACCUUUCAUUCAAAUAAUAAACACCUCAGUUAUUUUCGGGA